AGCGAACGCUGGCGGCAGGCCUAACACAUGCAAGUCGAACGGAUCCUUCGGGAUUAGUGGCGGACGGGUGAGUAACACGUGGGAACGUGCCCUUUGGUUCGGAACAACUCAGGGAAACUUGAGCUAAUACCGGAUGUGCCCUUCGGGGGAAAGAUUUAUCGCCAUUGGAGCGGCCCGCGUCUGAUUAGCUAGUUGGUGAGGUAACGGCCCACCAAGGCGACGAUCAGUAGCUGGCCUGAGAGGAUGAUCAGCCACACUGGGACUGAGACACGGCCCAGACUCCUACGGGAGGCAGCAGUGGGGAAUCUUGCGCAAUGGGCGAAAGCCUGACGCAGCCAUGCCGCGUGAAUGAUGAAGGUCUUAGGAUUGUAAAAUUCUUUCAGCGGGGACGAUAAUGACGGUACCCGCAGAAGAAGCUCCGGCUAACUUCGUG
rnacentral:rRNA from 1 species